GAACGGCUGGCGGCGUGCCUAAUACAUGCAAGUCGAACGGUCUUUCUAUGGAAGCUUGCUUCCACUGAGAAGAUAGUGGCGAACGGGUGAGUAACACGUGGGUAACCUGCCCAUAAGAGGGGGAUAACAUCCGGAAACGGGUGCUAAUACCGCAUAGUUUUCUUGAUUGCAUGAUUGAGAAAGGAAAGACGGCCUUUGUGCUGUCGCUUAUGGAUGGACCCGCGGCGUAUUAGUUAGUUGGUGAGGUAACGGCUCACCAAGACGAUGAUACGUAGCCGACCUGAGAGGGUGAUCGGCCACAUUGGGACUGAGACACGGCCCAAACUCCUACGGGAGGCAGCAGUAGGGAAUCUUCCGCAAUGGACGAAAGUCUGGCGGAGCAACGCCGCGUGAGUGAAAGAAGGUUUUCGGAUCGUAAAACUCUGUUGUCAGAGAAGAACAAGUUGGAGAGUAACUGCUCCAGCCUUGACGGUAUCUGACCAGAAAGCCACGGCUAACUACGUGCCAGCCGCGGC
rnacentral:rRNA from 1 species